UUUUGGUGCUUGCUUGGCCUCUUSGCYGAGCRGGUGGCUUUUAGCCGAGCGGUCUWCGGGGAUGAUUUCCGUAAAGGUGCAUGAGUGGURUUUGGUUUGUUGCGGAUGGUUGGAUGUCUGCUUGCGCAGCAACUUCCAUGCGGGCUUACCUCUUCARUURUGCUACAAGCCUUGUUUGGCUUGCAKCRUUCGGUGGGUUUCUUGUGUUGMUUACCUAAUCGAUGGCAUUGUUUGUCCCYAUWAGUURGAUUUUGUAACACGUUGCUUGCGGCGUGAUACAAACRAUGAAGCAACCUUUGUUGUUCAACCUGUUGCUGCUCAUGCAUCGAUGGCUUGGCCCAUGAAGUGUUGAUUGGUCCCUUGGAUAUGGAACAUGAUGUGGGCACAAGUUYGYCAAAGAUCUUG
rnacentral:misc_RNA from 1 species